rfam:Danio rerio chromosome 4, GRCz11 reference primary assembly.
UCCCUGGUGGUCUUGUGGUUAGGACUUAGCGCUCUUACCGCUGUGGCCUGGGUUCAAUUCCUGGUCAUGGAG